GGAGGGGGAAGGAAAUGUGGCUAAGGGGGGGGUGGACUGUGUCCUGUGGGAUCCGCAUCUGAUGUUGCCCCGUCAGUGGGUUCGGGGGCAUUACCUGCCUGUCUGUAGCGGGUAAUAUAGAGGAACCAUGGGAGCCACAGUUCUGUGUGUUUUGUUGCUCGACCCGUCAGAGAAGCGUGUAUUUCUUCCGCUCCGUGAAUAUCUUCUACUCUGCGGAUCCAUUCUUCUUUAGUUGGUACAUCACUUGUCUUCCAGUGUGCCGGUAUGUUAGCUUUGGCCGCGGAUCGAUUGUGUCGUUAUGUGUAGUAGGGCUAAUUCCGCGUUCCAUUCCGGGACAUCGCCCAGAAUGUCAGUCACAGUGUCCUUAAUCAUUGCCCAGUAUGGGGUAAUGUCUCUGCAUUCCCACCAUAUAUGUAUCAAAGUGCCACGUUCUGUCUGGCAUCUCCAGCACAUCGGGGAGGUUGACGGGAAGAUCUGGUUUAGGAGGGAUGGCAUUCUGUACCAGAGGGAGAGCAGUUUGUAAUUCACCUCUUGGUAAUAUGAACUCAUAGAGCUUUUUUGCUGCCAUAGCAAUGCCAAAUCCCAUUGUGAAGGUGUGAGCGUUUUUCGAAGUUGUCCUUCCCAUUGGCGACGGAAGGUAGAAGCCUGGGUCGUGUCUCCAAUAAGUAGGUGUUGGUAGAGGGCUGAUAUAGCAUGGUCAAGUGUGGUGCCAUUGUCACAGAGGCCCUCGAACCAGGUGAGGUCUCUGUGUAAACGUUCUUUAUGUGGCAUUGUGUCAUGGUAGUGUUUCAACUUUAGGUAUCUGAGUACCGUGAGGGGGUCCUUGGACCGUC